UUUCAACUUAAUUUUAUUAUUUAUUAUUACAUGCAUACAGUAUAUUACAGAUAGAAUAGGUCUAGACCACACUCUAUAAUUUACAAAGACCCAACAAUUCCAGUAAUUCCCCCAAGAUUGGAUAUGUUUGGAUCAGCUGUGCCGGUGGCGGCGAUAUCUAAGAAAACAUAAAUGUGAUUUUCAUGGACAUACAGGAGAUAUAUCAGUAUAUCAGAUAUAUUAAUUUUUUUCCAGCAGAUAUUUUGGUUGCAAAGAGAUUAAGCUAGCAAAGCAGUUUUUUGUUUAUAUGUGCGGUAGUUAUUCAGUUUGGGAAACACCACUGUGUCUA